rnacentral:tRNA from 1 species
AGUUUCUAGGUUAAAUAAACCCACAUAGUUCAAAUAUGUAAAUGUAUAAAAGUUUUAUACGAAACUA